rnacentral:rRNA from 1 species
GACGAACGCUGGCGGCGUGCUUAACACAUGCAAGUCGAACGGAAAGGCCUUUUCGGAGGUACUCGAGUGGCGAACGGGUGAGUAACACGUGGGUGAUCUGCCCUGCACUCUGGGAUAAGCCUGGGAAACUGGGUCUAAUACCGGAUAGGACCGCACUUUAGUGUGUGUGGUGGAAAGUUUUUUCGGUGUAGGAUGAGCCCGCUGCCUAUCAGCUUGUUGGUGGGGUAAUGGCCUACCAAGGCGGCGACGGGUAGCCGGACUGAGAGGUUGGUCGGCCACAUUGGGACUGAGAUACGGCCCAGACUCCUACGGGAGGCAGCAGUGGGGAAUAUUGCACAAUGGGCGCAAGCCUGAUGCAGCGACGCCGCGUGGGGGAUGACGGCCUUCGGGUUGUAAACUCCUUUCGCCAGGGACGAAGCGUUUUGUGACGGUACCUGGAGAAGAAGCACCGGCUAACUACGUG